ensembl:rRNA 5S_rRNA 5S ribosomal RNA
AUCUACAGCCGUACCAUCCUGAACACACCCAAUCUCGUCUAAUCUCGGAAGCUAAGCAGGGUUGGGCCUGCUUAGCACUUGGACGGGAGACAUUCGGGGCAAGAGAAAUCCAUGCUGUGGGGG